rnacentral:rRNA from 1 species
GUGCCAGCAGCCGCGGUAAUACAGAGGGUGCAAGCGUUGCUCGGAAUUAUUGGGCGUAAAGGGCAGGUAGGUGGUCUUAUUUGUCUAGGGUGAAAUCCCUGAGCUUAACUCAGGAAGUGCCCUAGAAACGGUAAGACUGGAGUACUGGAGAGGGUCGUGGAAUUCCCGGUGUAGCGGUGAAAUGCGUAGAGAUCGGGAGGAACACCAGAGGCGAAGGCGGCGACCUGGACAGUGACUGACACUCAACUGCGAAAGCGUGGGGAGCAAACAGGAUUAGAUACCCCGGUAGUCC